rnacentral:rRNA from 1 species
UACGUAGGUGGCAAGCGUUGUCCGGAAUUAUUGGGCGUAAAGCGCGCGCAGGCGGUCCUUUAAGUCUGAUGUGAAAGCCCACGGCUCAACCGUGGAGGGUCAUUGGAAACUGGGGGACUUGAGUGCAGGAGAGAAGAGUGGAAUUCCAGGUGUAGCGGUGAAAUGCGUAGAUAUCUGGAGGAACACCGGUGGCGAAGGCGGCAUCCUGGACCGACACUGACGCUGAUGAGCGAAAGCCAGGGGAGCAAACGGG